rnacentral:rRNA from 1 species
CGGGUGAGUAACGCGUGAGGAACCUGCCUCAAAGAGGGGGACAACAGUUGGAAACGACUGCUAAUACCGCAUAAGCCCACGGCUCGGCAUCGAGCAGAGGGAAAAGGAGUGAUCCGCUUUGAGAUGGCCUCGCGUCCGAUUAGCUGGUUGGUGAGGUAACGGCCCACCAAGGCGACGAUCGGUAGCCGGACUGAGAGGUUGAGCGGCCACAUCGGGACUGAGACACGGCCCAG